UACAGAGGGUGCGAGCGUUAAUCGGAAUUACUGGGCGUAAAGCGUGUGUAGGUGGUUGGAUAAGUUAGAUGUGAAAACCCUGGGCUUAACCUGGGACGUGCGUUUAAGACUGUUUAACUAGAGUACUGUAGAGGGUAGUGGAAUUUCCAGUGUAGCGGUGAAAUGCGUAGAUAUUGGAAGGAACACCAGUGGCGAAGGCGACUACCUGGAUAGAUACUGACACUGGAGAACACGAAAGCGUGGGGAGCAAACAGG
rnacentral:rRNA from 1 species